ACCCGCACAAGCGGUGGAUGAUGUGGAUUAAUUCGAUGCAACGCAGAACCUUACUACCCUUGACAUGUCCGGAACUUGCCAGAGAUGGCUUGGUGCCCGAAAGGGAAUCGGAACACAGGUGCUGCAUGGCUGUCGUCAGCUCGUGUCGUGAGAUGUUGGGUUAAGUCCCGCAACGAGCGCAACCCUUACCAUUAGUUGCUACGCAAGGGCACUCUAAUGAGACUGCCGGUGACAAACCGGAGGAAGGUGGGGAUGACGUCAAGUCCUCAUGGCCCUUAUGGGUAGGGCUCACACGUCAUACAAUGGUCGGUACAGAGGGUUGCCAAGCCGUGAGGCGGAGCCAAUCCCACAAAGCCGAUCGUAGUCCGGAUUGUUCUCUGCAACUCGAGAGCAUGAAGUCGGAAUCGCUAGUAAUCGCAGGUCAGCAUACUGCGGUGAAUACGUUCCCGGGCCUU
rnacentral:rRNA from 1 species